rnacentral:rRNA from 1 species
AGGACGAACGCUGGCGGCGUGCUUAACACAUGCAAGUCGAGCGGAAAGGCCCUUCGGGGUACUCGAGCGGCGAACGGGUGAGUAACACGUGAGUAAUCUGCCCCUAGCUCUGGGAUAGCUCCGGGAAACCGGGAUUAAUACCGGAUACGACCACCUUAGACAUCUUUUGUGGUGGAAAGAAUUUCGGCUAGGGAUGAGCUCGCAGCCUAUCAGCUUGUUGGUGGGUAACGCCUACCAAGGCGACGACGGGUA